GACGAACGCUGGCGGCGUGCUUAACACAUGCAAGUCGUACGGUAAGGCCCUUUCGGGGGUACACGAGUGGCGAACGGGUGCGUAACACGUGAGUAACCUGCCCACAACUUUGGGAUAACGCUAGGAAACUGGUGCUAAUACUGGAUAUGUGCUCCUGCUGCAUGGUGGGGGUUGGAAAGCUCCGGCGGUUGUGGAUGGACUCGCGGCCUAUCAGCUUGUUGGUGGGGUAGUGGCCUACCAAGGCGGCGACGGGUAGCCGGCCUGAGAGGGUGACCGGCCACAUUGGGACUGAGAUACGGCCCAGACACCUACGGGAGGCAGCAGGGGGGAAUAUUGCACGAUGGGCGCAAGCCUGAUGCAGCAACGCCGCGUGCGGGAUGACGGCCUUCGGGUUGUAAACCGCUUUCAGCAGGGACGAAGCUUUUUGUGACGGUACCUGCAGAAGAAGCACCGGCUAACUACGUG
rnacentral:rRNA from 1 species